GAACAUUUUUUGGUUUAAAUCUGUGCUUUCUAGGUGUAAGCGUGCAUGAGUGCACGUCCAGGUGCUCUCUGAAUGUGGGUGGGUCCUGUGUGUGUGCGCGCGCGCGCCGGAGAGGCUGUGUGAGCAGAGCUUCACAUGUGGACCGCUGCGACUCGCCGGAGGAUGCUCGCCCCGGCUCUCCGCUCGCAAGCUCUCGCCGCUCCGAUCCACCGUCCGCCUCUACCAAAACAGGGGGACGGAGACAGAAGCGGGGCUGGAGGGACGCUGCUAAGAGAGGUGCAAUCGGCGCAAAGGUGUUUAUUCCUUCCAUGACUCCUCUUCUGGGGAUUUCUGCUACCAAGGUCAAGGGAUACAAGCGGGCCCACCAGCGCCUUGAUGAGGUGGCAGCAGAGAAAUAAGGGGAGAGAGACAGACAGACAUGUGGAGAGGGUACAGUGAGGAGGGGGUAGCGGUGGUGGCAGCUGGUUACCAACCUUGGCAAGAGCAGCAGCAGCAGGAGCGUCAUGACAACGGCAGCAGAGGAUGUUGACUCCCAUCUCAUCUCAGCGCAGAGAUUUUAGCAGUUUGCACACACACACACACAGCCACUGCUACUUCAAAAACCAUUCAUUUUCAAUUAAAGCUACAACAAAGUGAAUUGCUUUGGGGUAAUUAGAUAUAGACACGCAGAGCAGGUUUCCUCAUCACUUCAGUACACAAGAUGAUGAGAAGAAGGCACAGUAGAAUAGUUUAAGGUUUACAAUAAUUGCUAAACAUUUAACUGAUUGAUUUCCAGGUGCAUACAGCAUCAGGAGUAUAUAGGGAUGCCUCUACAAAUUGUAUGGGGAUAAAGGGUUGCACUAUUUCAUGAUUGAUGAGCCCAGACCAGUGGACCGCUGAUUGGAAACUCAAAAAUAUCAAAUUAUUUCUUGAUCUGUGAAUGUACCAUACCACUACUACUACUACUAGGUUAUGAUGACAACACUCUUCAGUGUGGAUGCUGUUACUGAGUAAAGGAGACUCCAAUUCAACCAUUUCCAGUGUCAGUGAGGGGUUUGAAGAUGAAGUCAGAUGAAACCCAAGAGGUGUAAUAUAUCUAAAAGGAAACAACUUUCCAGGCGACGUCCAGAUGAGUGUGCCAUUCACUCAGGAUGCUAAGAGCUAGACUCUCUUGAGUUGCUCCGGUCCAAUCUCUUAGAGCUUUCAAGCUCAGUAGUACUGAGGUGCAUGUCAUGGAUCAUGCUGGUUUUGGAAAUAUUGGUUGGGUUUCAAGCAACUUAAGAGUUAAAGAGCCUAUAUUCUCUAGGAAUAAAUGAUGAAAUAGAGUUAAUAGUGAUAAGCACACAAAGAGCCGCUGUAAGAUGCUACAUUAAGUUGUCUCCCACACACCGUGUGAUCUCACCUCUGCCCCUUGAAUAAAUAAUUAUUUAUAAUCCACAGCAGGAAGAAUAGAAAAUAAUAUGUUGAUUGCUGCUAAUUAUAGUUCUUAAAAAAAAUAAGCUGGAAUCAGUAAAGGUGGUAACAGGAGGUCAAAGCUUCACAAAAAAUGGUGUUCUGAAUUGGUCACAACAUUCACUGCAUCUACAGUAGUAUUUCUUUUUCUCUGAGUGUUACUCUUUUGAUUUCCCGUAUUUCUCACAUUAAAGCUCCUCUAUUACUACUGUCACCUAACAAGAGGGAAAACCAAUGUUUUUACAAACCACAUGUGUGAAAAUAAAGCAUACCCCCCUAUUCAUUCUUUGUUAAUCAAAUGUUUCACAAGCACAAAUCGUGAUCCACAAAGUCCAGCCCUCAAAUACUACUACUACUAGUAAUAUUAAUAUUACGCCAAAUAAGGACUAAUGGCUCAGAAGGGCUCUUUUAAAGUCCUGGGCAAUGUUGAUCGCACAAUAUGUUGCUUAUGGCCACAAAGCAGAGGCCAUUACAGACCGGUGAUUAUAUAAGUGGUUGGAAGGCAGCACCAUUUUAAUAUACUGUACUUAAGCACCAGGGUAUCCAUGGCAACUUGCACUUUUACCGUGCAUUCAGAAAUCCCUAAUGAAAUGUCUAUUAAGGGGAUGAUAAUGACAGUGUCCAAAUAUAUUUGCAUAUGUGUUUCAGUGGGAAAAGAGAGCGCAUAAUGAAGGUAGAUGGGUCCCUGAUCACUGCAAUGAUGAUUUUGUGUAUUUUGGGGGAUUUCUUUUGUUAUGUUUCCACUGCUUCAGUAAUAAAAACCUUGGCAAUGUC